GACGAACGCUGGCGGCGUGCUUAACACAUGCAAGUCGAACGGAAAGGCCCUGCUUUUGUGGGGUGCUCGAGUGGCGAACGGGUGAGUAACACGUGAGUAACCUGCCCUUGACUUUGGGAUAACUUCAGGAAACUGGGGCUAAUACCGGAUAGGAGCUCCUGCUGCAUGGUGGGGGUUGGAAAGUUUCGGCGGUUGGGGAUGGACUCGCGGCUUAUCAGCUUGUUGGUGGGGUAGUGGCUUACCAAGGCUUUGACGGGUAGCCGGCCUGAGAGGGGGACCGGCGACAUUGGGCCUGAGAUACGGCCCAGACUCCUACGGGAGGCAGCAGUGGAGAGUAUUGCACAAUGGGCGGAAGCCUGAUGCAGCAACGCCGCGUGCGGGAUGACGGCCUUCGGGUUGUGAACCGCUUUCGCCUGUGACGAAGCGUGAGUGACGGUAAUGGGUAAAGAAGCACCGGCUAACUACGUG
rnacentral:rRNA from 1 species